UAAUACAUCGGAACGUGUCCUUUGGUGGGGAAUAACCAGUCGAAAGACUGGCUAAUACCGCAUAAGCUCGCAAGAGGAAAGCAGGGGACCUGGAAACGGGCCUUGCGCGAUUGGAGCGGCCGAUGUCCGAUUAGCUAGUUGGUAGGGUAAAGGCCUACCAAGGCAUCGAUCGGUAGCUGGUCUGAGAGGAUGAUCAGCCACACUGGGACUGAGACACGGCCCAG
rnacentral:rRNA from 1 species